UGUGUCUGGCAGCUGUCCGCUCCACGCGAUUUGUCCAGCCUUUACUGAAUGCCCACAGUGUCCUGGGCCUGGGUGCAGAGUUAGGGGAACAGCUCCUUCAGCAGUGUCAGCACAAACCAGGGCCAAAGUCAAGGAAAACUAGGCAAGAAUACAGGAAAAGAGAGAAAGAAAGAAGGAAAGCACGCCCUUCCACUCCAUACCCUUCAGGCUUGGUUCUCACAGAAGCCUGGCUCUGCAGGAAGGCGACAAUGGAAGUUCUCCAGAGAGAAGGCGUCUCCUUCUAAUCCUGCACCCCGCACCCGAGUUAUCCCCACAAACCAGAACACAUUUACUCCCAGAAGAUGCUGUUUGUUGAAAUGGGGAGCUGGAGGAAGCAGGGCCAACGGGGCAGGAGAGAGGGGCAGGUCUGAAGAAAAUGUAGACAGAAAUGCCUCCAUGGGAUACUUCCUAAAGAAAAGUUUGAAAAGCCCUUCUUUUUGGAGCUGGAAGUUUAAGUGAUGACCUCUGCUUCAGCGGCCAUCGCGUCCAUCAUGCUGCCUCCAGAUGGCACUCUCAAACCUGGCCACACAUUAAAUCAUCAGUGAAUCAAUCCAGAGAUGCCGGGCCCCAUCUGCAGAGCUUCUGCUCAUUCAUCUGGAGUGGGGCCUGGGCCUCGGCAUUUUCCAAGGCUGCCCCAGUG
rnacentral:lncRNA from 1 species